ensembl:lncRNA
UUUGUGGGAAUCUUUAUUGCAGAUAUUAACGGAUAUUAUAGAUGAGCAGAAAUCAGAAAAUAAUUAGGUGCAUAUAUAUGAUUAGUCUUUGAUCUCAUGGAAAGUGUAGAAGGCAAAAAAUACUGUGUAUUAGAGGUCCCUGGGCAAGAAGCAUUAUCUAGACAUCAUGCACACACAUUAAUUCAAAGACUUUUUCCAAGGUAUAAAAAAUAAUCCACUAACAGCAGGAAGUAGAAAUAUGCGAAUGCUUUUCUGAAGCCCUCAAAACCAAAUCUGGAUGCCUCUCUGAAACAGUCUCCAGCAGCAUUGUCCCUCCAGGAGUUAAUACCUUCACAGUCCAAGCAGGCACACACUGAAUAUUAGCACCUUUCUGAAGCUGCUGAAUGUAUUGAGCUCUUUUUUUAACUUGUUGGUAUCCUGAAUUCGCUUGUAUCACAUGUAACAUGAAGCAUAGCCUUUUUCCUUAUUAAUGCCAAAGACACAAGUAUCCAUGUGAAAACUAGCAAAAUGCUGCCUGUUGUAAAACAGCAAAUAUUUUGUAUAGAGGGAAAAUUCUGGGACCUGCCUACUAAAGGAGAAGCACAAAUAGUUUCUCCUGUAUGGCCCCCAGUGAACUCAUCCCAUUUAGUGCGUAUUGGAGCUUUGCAAAUCUCCAGAGCUUUGUGUUUAGCAAAGCAGAUGUGCAAAUGAGGAGAUCCUGGUGACCUCACCUCUGAGAAUCAGGCCUUUGACAUACAUUACUUUCCUGCUGACAGCAAAAGAGGUGUGGAUCAGUUGGCGUUUCACACCUGCAACUAAUGUAGAAGUUGUAACGAUAUAAGUGAACAUUAGGAAUAAAAACGAUGCUUUGGACACGAACCAGCUAUAUUUAACAGGAAAGGUGCAAAUCCGCAUUAUGACUCAGGAUACGUAUUAGCUGCAGCCCUUCUUUAACCUGGAAAGAAAGAAUUAUAUCCAAGAGAACGUACCUCAAAGAGUUUCUCUUUCCUCUGGCAGAAGUGAUGAUUAGGCUAAAAUUGGCCAUUUGUUUUAUCUGUAGUUGGGGAAUAUAUGAUUUGGUGUACCAGAUGAAGCUGUACAAACUAGUCUCGGUUCAAGAUCCUGAUCUCCUAUAACUACCUCUUCACAAUCAAUAGAGCAACGAACUUUUAGUGUAGCUCAGGACCUUGCUCAGCUCCUUUAUCCUGGACUGAGCUGACCUGGUAAAUCUGCAGGGGGAUGAGAUCUUGCUGAAUACACCCAGUUCUCCAACUCCCCUCUGCUUUGGGAAGUCUGUGCCUCCAGAGAGGCUCCUGGGGCCAGAAAUUACAACAGAUUUUCACCCACUAUUUUCUUGUUGGUAACAAAUGCUCUGCACUGCUCUUUGGGCCUUUUGGACUUCUAUUAAUGCUGCAGCAUGUAUUAGCCUAUAAUAUCACUGUUUGGGCCUCUUUUCACUAAAGCAGAUCUAUCAGCUGCAAAGCAUUUAGGGUUGGUUUGUGUGUUGCCCCAUCUAGGAGUAACAAAUCUUGUUGGGUGGGUAGAAAGGUACCAUCAUCCCUUAUAUAUCAGCUUGCUUUAGCCCUGGGAAUUCAUCUCCACUUAGGUUUUGGAGGUUUCUUUGUCAGUGUCUAACAAGUGGCUGCUCUGAUGCCUCCCAGCUUACAGGCUGAUGCCUCGUGGGCAGUCUACAUGACAGAGAAAUGUUAUGGAUGGAAAUGAGCAUUUUUGUCUCCUCCUGACAAAUGUACAGUGUGGGAAGGGGUUACACCAGCACACCUCUCCAUGAAAAGUCAGGGGACAUGACCCCCACCAAAACGAACCCCUGGGCAGCUACGUGACAUUCAGCUUGAGGAAGGAAACUGGUUUGUCACCUCAUUGCCUAACAUGUGAUCUCAAGCCAGAGCUGAGGUGUACCCAUGGGCGCAAGAGAUAAGAUUGUUGUUAACACUGUACUCGUAUCCUGAAGGUAUUCUAGUUUCCAACUUUAGAAUG